rnacentral:rRNA from 1 species
AUUCCAGCUCCAAUAGCGUAUAUUUAAGUUGUUGCAGUUAAAAAGCUCGUAGUUGGAUUUCGGGUGAGGAUGACCGGUCUGCCGUUGCGGUACGCACUGGACGUUUUCAUCUUGUUGUCGGGGACGCGCUUCUGGGCUUCACUGUUCGGGACGCGGAGUCGGCGCUGUUACUUUGAAAAAAUUAGAGUGUUCAAAGCAGGCAAUCGCUCUGAAUACAUUAGCAUGGAAUAACGCUAUAGGACUCUGGUCCUAUUGUGUUGGUCUUCGGGACCGGAGUAAUGAUUAAGAGGGACAGUUGGGGGCAUUCGUAUUUCAUUGUCAGAGGUGAAAUUCUUGGAUUUAUGAAAGACGAACUUCUGCGAAAGCAUUUGCCAAGGAUGUUUUCAUCA